CCUGCCUGACCUGACCUCAGCCGGGGGGAAAGAGUCACACUCACAGUGAGGAUGCUAUGGCCCACCUACUGUUCCUUUGGCGACUCUGCUGUGCAGAAAAGUGAAACAAAGGUUUGAUACUAGAGCUUGCAAAGUGGUCUGAAGGAUUUGCUUGAGGACAUCAACACUGGAAUCCCAGUCUGAAUCCAUGACUGAGAUAUAACCCCCACAAUUUAAUGAACUGCCAGGAUCUGCUUCGUUACUUCAAACACUGGAGAAUAAGAAGAGAACA